CACGUCGGAUAUCUGAGUAGCAAAACUAAACAGUUCAAACACUCAUGGGUUGUCAAACCUCCAACGUCAUAGCAAUUAUUCAGCGCAAGCUCAACAUCUCAGUGUCGAGUUUCUUUGAUAAUAACAACAACAAUUAGUCAACAUGGAGGAUUCAAUGAAUGUAUUAUGCAGGAAAUUCUGCAGGGAAAUCAUGAAGUUUUAUGUAGGAAAAAAUGCACCAAGCUUUGUCUAAUUGUUGCAGCUGACUUUGAUUAAGUUUAGCAAUAGGAAUUGUGCUUGGAAUUGUUAUGAAAAUGGAAAUUCUUAAUGUAAUAUGAAAUUGGGAUUAAUGUGGGAAGAUAAUUGAAUUUAAAUGUGUAUUGAAUUGUGUUGAAUUGUAUUGGAAACAUUUGAUUGUAUUUAGUAAGUCAAUUUCAUUGUGAAAAUAAUGAUUUUGAAGAUUAGUUUGACAUGAA